rnacentral:rRNA from 1 species
UUGACAAAAUUCGUGCCAGCAGUUGCGGUUAUACAAAAAUUAAAAUAAAUUAUUUCAGUUUAUAAUAAAUAAAUAAAUUAAUUAAAAUAAAUAUUAAAUUAUUAAGUGAAAUUUUAAUUUAGUUAAAUUUUAUUUUAUUUUUAUGAAUUAAUAAAUUUUAAUAUAAACUAGGAUUAGAUACCCUAUUAUUAAAAAUUUAAUUUAUAAUACUAAAAUAGUAAAUAAUUAUUUAUUGAAACUUGAAUAAUAUGGCGGUAUUUUAGUUCAUUUAGAGGAAUCUGUCUAAUAAUUGAUAAUCCACGAAUAAAUUUACUUAAUUUAUAAUUUUGUAUAUCAUUGUUAAAAAAAUAUUUUUAAAUAAAAAUAAUAUUUAAAAUUUUUAAUAUAAAAUUAAUUCAGAUCAAGAUGCAGAAUAUAAUUAAGAAUAUGAUGGAUUACAAUAAAAAUAUUUAAAUGAAUAAUAAAUUUGUAAAAUAUAUUUAAAGGUGGAUUUAAAUGUAAUUUUAAUUAGUUUAUUAAAAGUAUAAA